ACUUUUAUUUUGGAAAAAGAACUGCUGCUGUUUCAAGACAUGCGCACUAGCUGCGACAUCUAGUGACGACAUUUACCGGGCUUUAACGGUUGUUGCUGCAUGAAGUCUGCUGCAAUUUCUCUGAGAUUUCUCAAGAUCAUCAGUUUGGACAGAAUUCAUUUGAAGAAUUAAUAGCACUAGCAGGUUCCAAUAAAGGCUGGAACAGAACAGACAGAAAAGAAUCUGUCAGAAGAAAUUCAACUACUGUUCGUGCACCAGAUGGUGAAGUAGAAAAGUUCGUAAAAACUUCUGCAGCUUGCAUCUGACAGAGAUGCAAAAAGAAGAAGAGAGCGGGCCUGAAAACAAGCAAAUUCAAGGUUGUCAAUUCAGCAGAAAAGUUUGCUGUUCUCGCUGUUUACAGACAGGAGGUAAGCGCAUGUGAACACGCAGAUGACCUAUGGUGUCUGCGUAAGGGCUGGGCAAAAAAAUCGAUUUUCCGAUUAAUCGUUUUUUAAAACGUGGUCUAAUAAAAAUCGAUUCUCAAAGAGCAGAAUAGAUUUUUUUCUUUCAUAUUUAUUUCCACAAACAUUGAACGUAAGAUUAACUUUAAUCUAAUUACUAGUCUUCUUCAACGUUAGUGUUGUGGCUUUUAAUUUUUUUAUUAAUUACACACUUGUAAACUGCUGUUCACUGUUCUUUUUUAUUAAUAUAGUAUUUGUAUUAAAUCUAUAUUCAUUGAGUUGAAUCGAGAAUCGAGUAUAAAA